AUUGAACGCUGGCGGCAGGCCUAACACAUGCAAGUCGAGCGGAUGAAGGGAGCUUGCUCCUGGAUUCAGCGGCGGACGGGUGAGUAAUGCCUAGGAAUCUGCCUGGUAGUGGGGUAUAACGUCCGGAAACGGGCGCUAAUACCGCAUACGUCCUGAGGGAGAAAGUGGGGGAUCUUCGGACCUCACGCUAUCAGAUGAUCCUAGGUCGGAUUAGCUAGUUGGUGGGGUAAAGGCCUACCAAGGCGACGAUCCGUAACUGGUCUGAGAGGAUGAUCAGUCACACUGGAACUGAGACACGGUCCAGACUCCUACGGGAGGCAGCAGUGGGGAAUAUUGGACAAUGGGCGAAAGCCUGAUCCAGCCAUGCCGCGUGUGUGAAGAAGGUCUUCGGAUUGUAAAGCACUUUAAGUUGGGAAGAAGGGCAGUAAGUUAAUACCUUGCUGUUUUGACGGUACCAAAAGAAUAAGCACCGGCUAACUUCGUG
rnacentral:rRNA from 1 species